rnacentral:lncRNA from 1 species
AUUAGCACGGUGGUGUGGCCAUCCUUCAAUCUGGCCCUGGGAACUGGUCACUCCCAUGUGUCCUUACAUGCCACUAAUGCAGGCGCAAUCCUUGCACAAUUCUUGUUCCUUGAAGGGAGAUGAAUAUUCAGAAAGAGCCAUGUUCCAGGAAAAUGAGCAGAGAUUUUGCCCCCAGGAUGACACCCAGUUUCUUUAAUCCCUUUUGAAGGGCAAGUGAGCAGAAGCUCGUUGACAGGAAACAUUCCUGGUCUACCCUCAAACUUGUGAAUACUCACUGGAGUACAGAAAUUCUGAUUCACCUUGUGUUUGCAGUCUGGAGCUUUGACCAAUCUUCUUUGCUUUCCCCUUCUGCCCUCAUCUACAACUGACCUGUGCUUUCCUCCUGGCAGUCUUCACCCAUGAAGAGUCAGCUGUGCCACACACUGGGACACCUGUGACCACACACAAGACCAGCACAGCCACCUCCAUCAGCAGCACCUCCAAGACCUCUGUCUCCACAGGGCCCAGCCCAGCAAGCAGCACAGGAGCCCCUCUGGAAACAACCUCUGCCCAUGCCAGCUCUCCACCUGCCCCCAGCAGCCCGCUCAGCACAAGGCUGCCAUCCACUGCCACCACUUCCACUGGCUCCUCCACAGCAGCUGCCAGCACCAGCCCCAGGCCUACACCUACAACCCUGAGGCCCAGGCCCUCUUCCCCAGCAACCCAAGCUGCAAAGGAGUCUCCUGUAACAGAGUCCUCUGCAUCCACCACAGCCAAAACCAGCACGCUGCCACAACCUGCUUCUUCUCCCUCCUCAACUGUGUCCUCAACAUGGCUCAGCUCCUCACAGCCUGCCUUCACCCAUGAAGAGUCAGCUGUGCCACACACUGGGACACCUGUGACCACACACAAGACCAGCACAGCCACCUCCAUCAGCAGCACCUCCAAGACCUCUGUCUCCACAGGGCCCAGCCCAGCAAGCAGCACAGGAGCCCCUCUGGAAACAACCUCUGCCCAUGCCAGCUCUCCACCUGCCCCCAGCAGCCCGCUCAGCACAAGGCUGCCAUCCACUGCCACCACUUCCACUGGCUCCUCCACAGCAGCUGCCAGCACCAGCCCCAGGCCUACACCUACAACCCUGAGGCCCAGGCCCUCUUCCCCAGCAACCCAAGCUGCAAAGGAGUCUCCUGUAACAGAGUCCUCUGCAUCCACCACAGCCAAAACCAGCACGCUGCCACAACCUGCUUCUUCUCCCUCCUCAACUGUGUCCUCAACAUGGCUCAGCUCCUCACAGCCUGCCUUCACCCACGAAGUGCCACAUGCUGAGACAGCUGUAACCACAGAGAAGACCACGGCCACCACCUCCAUCAGCAGCACCUCCAAGACCUCUGUCUCCACAGGGCCCAGCCCAGCAAGCAGCACAGGAGCCCCUCUGGAAACAGCACCCCCCCCCCCCCCCCCCCCCCCCCCCCCCCCCCCCCCCCCCCCCCCCCCCCCCCCCCCCCCCCC